rnacentral:rRNA from 1 species
GGGUUGUGAGGUUAAGCGACUAAGCGUACACGGUGGAUGCCCUGGCAGUCAGAGGCGAUGAAGGACGUGCUAAUCUGCGAUAAGCGCCGGUAAGGUGAUAUGAACCGUUAUAACCGGCGAUUUCCGAAUGGGGAAACCCAGUGUGACUCGUCACACUAUCAUUAACUGAAUCCAUAGGUUAAUGAGGCGAACCGGGGGAACUGAAACAUCUAAGUACCCCGAGGAAAAGAAAUCAACCGAGAUUCCCCCAGUAGCGGCGAGCGAACGGGGAGGAGCCCAGAGCCUGAAUCAGCAUGUGUGUUAGUGGAAGCGUCUGGAAAGGCGCGCGAUACAGGGUGACAGCCCCGUACACAAAAGCGCAUAUGCUGUGAGUUCGAUGAGUAGGGCGGGACACGUGGUAUCCUGUCUGAAUAUGGGGGGACCAUCCUCCAAGGCUAAAUACUCCUGACUGACCGAUAGUGAACCAGUACCGUGAGGGAAAGGCGAAAAGAACCCCGGCGAGGGGAGUGAAAAAGAACCUGAAACCGUGUACGUACAAGCAGUGGGAGCCCCACCACUAAGCCAGUGGUGAACUCCACAUACGCAUCCUUUGCUGAGGAUACGGUUAACGGAGCGAAAGCGACGUUCAACCGCAAAAGAAGCAGAGGGGGCUUAGUGGUGG